UGCAGCUGCUUGACAGCUGUACUUGACAAAAAAGAAGUCGGAGAUGCAGAACAUCAUGACUGGCUCGCAUUGAGAGGAAGCUCCUCUUUUAGUCGUUCCUGUUGAGAUGUCCUGAUGCAGUAAGAUGUACAAGUGCAUCAUCUCCAGAAUCAAUAGCCUGAUGGACGAGGAGAGGAAGAAAAGCAAAGCCACCACCCAGCUCUUCAACCUCCUGCCUUGCGCUGUCAAUCCGGGAGAAGAAUCCCUUGGCCUGGUAUAGAAAUUUGUGCUAGGAAGAGAUGAAUUUCACUGUUAUUCCUCUGACAGUAGUGAUGAUGAAAUGGAGCUAAGCAAGGAGCAGAGUGUGGGCAGGAGUCUGGCAUGACUGCAGAUGACAAAGAGUAGCAGUAGAUGCACAGGAUGUCCCUCCAGAGAGGAAGGAGAAGAGGUCAGAAAUGAUGAAGCAAUUCCUCCAAACUGCUCUUCACAUGGAUAAUAAAUGUCAAAGAACGAUGAAGUAUCAGGAGACAUGGAAAAGGAAAUGGACAAGAUACUAAAUACUUGGAAAAGCAACAACAGCAACAAGAACAACAAAAAAAAUGCUGACCUGGAAGCCACCAAGUCAAGCUGUUUACAAAGUAUUUGAAAGAGGGAUCUACUGACUCAUCGUGGAUACUAUGGCAGGCUGCUUUUUACAUGCCACUUUUCUGACAAAUGCCUUCAGACUUUGGAUGUUUCCCAGUGGGAGGGGAAGAGAGAGUGUGUGAUGCUAAAAGAAAGGCCUACGCCUAUUCAAUGAGCCUGUUCUCCUCCUGGAACUUCUCCACACUUCAAGUGUCUGAACUUUGCUGCCAACUGAUUUCCUUAAGAAAGCUCAUGCCUGCCUCCUGUCUUUCCUCAAAGGAGAAUUUACUACCAAGUCAUUGAGAACACAGAUAAUGUUGCAGAAAAUCAGUUCCUCCAGCAUAUGGGAAUGUGAAAAAGACCAUAAUGAUUGGAUACAAGAGUGGGAUAUCUUCAGUACAAAUACAGAUGGCUAAGAUGUAGGUAACUACAAAUGUGCUAGACACCUUAGAUGUGCUUUGUAGUCCACAGAGAUAAAUAAGAUACAUCAGAUUUAUUUUACUAGGACAAAAUAAAUUGAUCCUC
ensembl:lncRNA